UACGUAGGGGGCUAGCGUUGUUCGGAAUUACUGGGCGUAAAGCGCACGUAGGCGGCUUUACAAGUCAGGGGUGAAAGCCCGCGGCUCAACCGCGGAAUUGCCUUCGAGACUGUAUCGCUUGAACACGGGAGAGGUGAGUGGAAUUCCGAGUGUAGAGGUGAAAUUCGUAGAUAUUCGGAAGAACACCAGUGGCGAAGGCGGCUCACUGGACCAUUGUUGACGCUGAGGUGCGAAAGCGUGGGGAGCAAACAGG
rnacentral:rRNA from 1 species